rnacentral:lncRNA from 1 species
CCGUCGUGGCGGUGCUCUCUCCGGCGGCGCUGCAGGGUUAGGGAGGUUGGUCUCUCUCUGGUUCGGGCAUCCGGCGAGGUUUGGUCGGUGAAGGGCGUGUACAGGAGUUGGGAUUUUGUGGAGAGGGAUUUCCAGAUCCGGUCACCGCGGACGACUGGCAGCUGCGGACUGUAGUGGGCGAAUGGUUGGAGCUACUGCUCCACUCCGGCGAAGGCUUGCGCUGGUGGCAGCUUCGAAAACAGGGGAAGGGGAGCACGAGGUCUACCCCUGGCUGAUGCACAGGAACCCGCCCCUUGUUCCCGUCCAUGGUUGUCUCGUGGACGACCACUCUUCCUCGCACUGGUGGAUGCAGAGAUCGGCGUGCCUCGGUAAAGGAAGAUGAACUGGGCUGUAAGUUGCUUUGUUUUCUCUGAUGACAUUGAUUCCCUUUUGUGUUGUCUCUGGUUCUCAACCUCCAAGGACAUGGCCUUUUUUUUUGUGCUGCCCAUGGAGGCUAGCAGCGGCAGGACCUCCAUGAGUAGGCCGCGGAGGAUGUUUGCCGGUGGCGAGCUACUCGUUCCGGACGGCUCCGGUUCCAAGCUUUCGUCGAUUAGGAGCAUAUUUCGCGAGAUAAUCUCAUUCUAACAUGUCUCUGAUUAUGAUUUUUUCCUGUGGAUUUCAGGAUAUAGAAGGCAGUUUCGCAGUGGGGUCACUGACAAGCAAGGUGAGGCCAUUGUGUCUAUUAUUGUGUUAGUGUGUUUCAAAGAAAUCACACUAAUUUCUCUCAGUAUAGUAUAUGUCUCUGCAGAGAAAUAAGUCCUGGAGCAUGCUUUAGUGAAGACUACUGAUCCAGAAUUGGCCGUAUGUUCAUGAACAGUUUUCUGCUACUGAAAUAAGUCCUGGAGCAGGCUUCAGUGUGGACUACUGAUCUACAAGUCUUAUGUUGAUGAACAAUUUUAUGUUGCUCUGACUGAACGGAUUGUUGUAAUUUAGCCAAACAACAUGUCACCGUGCCACUACCUAGGUUUUUGCACAAAUUUUUUGUCUGUUUGGGUGGUGCCAAGCUGCCAAUAAAAGACAGGCUGUCUUCUUGUUACAAUUCAUGCCAUUCUUAUUAUGAUGUGUUG